GUGGAUGUGGCUUCAUCCUGUCUGUCAUGGUGAAUAGUGUACCUUUGGGUUGGCAUGUCAAGGUGCUUAUCUGUCUGCUGCAACAGGCUGCUUGGGUCAUCUCCAGGCCCAAGGACUCUUCCCCCAUGCUGUGGUACUGUGGUGGAGACCAUGAACAUGUGUUACAUUGCAUUUCUGCUGAGGAUACACCAAAAGAGUGCAUUGCUGGGACCCAGAAUCUCCAUAACAUCAAGUCCAUUAGACAAACUGUUUUUCAGAGAGGUGGCAGUUUACACAGGCUCCAUGGACAUGGUGGGUCUCAUCACUUCAUGUUCUCUCCAUUGCUUGUCAGGAGCUUCUGUGCUCACUCUUGCACUUAGUCACAGGCUUCCCUAUAUCUAUAGAAGCCAGAAUCUGGGAUAAGCCUCCCCAGGCAGCAGUGGGGACAGUGUGUCCUGUGUCUACUCAGCAGGCCAGUCCUCAGAAUGGCUUAGAAAAGGAGUCCUUGGACUCCCAUCUUGGCUGCCCCCCUUGAUAACUGUACAAUCAUGGAUGAAUUAAUUAAUCUUCCUGUGCCUCCAUGUCCUUGGGGGUGGAGCAUGGGUUAGAACAUGUGCCUCCCUGUGCUUCCAUGUCCUUGGGGGUGGAGCAUGGAUGAGAACUUGUGUCUCCCUGGGCCAUCUUGAUGAUUAAUGAGUGAACUCUGCAGAGCAGUUGGAAAAAGGCAGGUAUGCUGUAGGGGUUCCACAUCUGUGAGCCAGAACUGGAGCCUUCCCAGGGCACAGUGAUGACUAUAUUCUACAGAUGGCUUAAGAGACAGGAGUGGGGCUGAUUUCUCAUCACUGGUAUCUGGGUGUGUGACCUCUCAGGGAUGGACAGACAUGAGCCUUUCCAAGCUGAGUCCAGAUAAAGGGAUUGGCUGUUUCCAAAGACCUGUGUUCAUCUGCUGUUCAUCACAGGGACCAAAAUUCCCCACAAUAACCAUUUACAGAAGGAGAAGUUUAUUUUGACUCAUGGGUUCACAGGUCUUAGUCCAUAGUUCACCCAACUCUAUUGCUCUGGACCUAAGGGUGAGGCAGAUCGUCAUGCAUCACACAGCAGGGUAUAGGAUAAGACAGCUGUUCAGCUCAUGGCACCUGGGAAGCAGAGAGAGAUGGAGGAGCUUGGGGGGACAAAAUAUAAUCCCCAAAAGCAUGUCCCCAGUCACCUGCCUUCUUCAGCCAUGCCCAACAUGCCUAUGGUUACCACCCAGUACAGUAGUCUUCAAAUCCAUCAAAUGGAUUAAUCCACUGAUUAGGGUCAUGGUUCUUGUAUUGUAAUCAUUUCAGCUCUGAACACUGCUACCUUGCCUAAUAUGAGCUUUUGGGGAGACACAUCACAUCCAAACCAUAACAAGGCUGGUUAUGUUGUAGGAAAAUUAGUUUCUCUUUCAAGAGCAAGAGUGCUUCCUCUCCAUAAGAUGUUCAGGGGGAAGAAGCAUGGUGGACAGCAACCGGCUGGGAAAAGAGCACAUGGGCUUCUGGUCCAUGCUCACCUGGCCUUCUGACUAGUGGAUGGCCAUGGUGGCCAGUGGUCCUUACCUUUUGCAGAAAAUGCAGAUGAAAUGGCUUCAGGAUUUCAGGCAGCUUAGGAUGUGAUUGUACUCAAGAUGAGUGGAGGGUUCCAGGACCCAGCAAUGGGGAAGGCCUCAGCCCCUCCAGCACUGGUUCUUUUCAAAUUCAUUUUAAAUCUGAUCACAUCAGGAGUAAGUUCCAGAGUAGCAAUUAACAUCUGUAAAUCUUCCAUUGGGAAAAAAGAGAAAGCUGGCCCUGCCCAGAGCCACCCUAGCCCCUGUCUGCAUGGAAUGUACCAUCAGUGUUUGUCUUCCUUGGCUAGGACAUGCUUCUUCCUGGCCAACAUCUGAAGGCUGUGUCUGGGUAUCAUCCACGGGGCAGGAGACUGUGCAGCUACUCUUAGAUGAAAUCCAGUAGAGUCAUAUCAGCCAUGAAAACCCAUCAGAAGCCUGACAAGUGAAGGCCUGCAUACCUAACCCUGUGCAUCCAUCAUUUAUGCACCUGCACCAGACACAGUGAUGCUCAUCAUAUGACAAAGGACACACAUGCAAACUCAAAUACAGUAUCUUUUUAAGUCCUUUCUUUCUUACAAUUUAACCCACACAUCAUUAAAUCUGCCCUUGUAAAGCCAUCCUCUCUCUCUCACCUCAGGAUAUACAUCCUGUGCACAGCCUCAGAGGUCUUAGUAAAAGCACGGAGCUGUGCAGCCAUCUCCACCAUCUAGUUUCAGAGCAUCUCCAUCCCCAGAGCAUGCCAUACACCUGUUAGCAUCUCUCUCAAGUCCUUCAUUCUCCAAACACCAUACUGCUCUGUCUGCAUGGAUGUGCUUACAGUGGACAUUUCAUCCAGGUGGGAUUGAAGAAAAAUGCUGCUUGUGUGUCUUAGAAUAUUUUUUAGAAUAUUUCUAAGGUUUAUCUAUGCCAAAGUAUGGAUGACUUCAUUCAUUUUUUAUGUAUAAUAUUGCACUAGAUGGAGAGAGCACAUUUUGUUCAUUAAUUAAGCAUGUGAUGGUAUACUUGAAGGAGACAGAGGCAAACAGAUACAGCAGCAGAGAAAUAGCAAUGAUACUCAGAGAGAGAGAGAGAGAGAGAGAGAGAGAGAGAGAGAGAGAGAGAGACAGAGUUUCCGUACAACCCUGUCACUCUGGACUCCUUCCUUUCUUCCCACUUUCCAGAAUCUUUUCUUAUAUCCUGUACAUGUGUCCAAACUGAGCCCAUGUCUGGGUGUCUGGAAAGGAUCACCCACAGGUCUUUUUCCAAUCCCACCAGGCCUAUAGGCAUGGGAUGGGGAGCAGAUACUGAUAACCCAAAGGUAGCAAGGAGGGAUAGAGUCCCAUUCAGGGAGAAGAGUCACCUCCAUCACCCAUGUUGCUCUUGCAUCUUGGGCCAUAUGCCACUGAAAUGAAACUCAAAGAUUUUGUACCAGAAACCAUCAGGAGAGUUUAAU
rnacentral:lncRNA from 1 species